GUGGGGAAUAUUGGGCAAUGGGCGAAAGCCUGACCCAGCAACGCCGCGUGAAGGAAGAAGGUUUUCGGAUCGUAAACUUCUAUCCUUGGUGAAGAUAAUGACGGUAGCCAAGAAGGAAGCCCCGGCUAACUACGUGCCAGCAGCCGCGGUAAUACGUAGGGGGCAAGCGUUGUCCGGAAUGAUUGGGCGUAAAGGGCGCGUAGGCGGCCCGGUAAGUCUGAAGUGAAAGUCCUGCUUUUAAGGUGGGAAUUGCUUUGGAUACUGUCGGGCUUGAGUGCAGGAGAGGUAAGUGGAAUUCCCGGUGUAGCGGUGAAAUGCGUAGAGAUCGGGAGGAACACCAGUGGCGAAGGCGACUUACUGGACUGUAACUGACGCUGAGGCGCGAAAGUGUGGGGAGCAAACAGGAUUAGAUACCCCAGUAGUCC
rnacentral:rRNA from 1 species